GCCUGGGUGGCUCAGUCGGUUGGGCAGCUGACUUCGGCUCAGGUCACGAUCUCGCAGUCCGUGAGUUCGAGCCCCGCGUCAGGCU
rfam:Felis catus isolate Cinnamon breed Abyssinian chromosome B2, whole genome shotgun sequence.